CCUACGGGUGGCAGCAGUGGGGAGUAUUGGGCAAUGGGCGCAAGCCUGACCCAGCAACGCCGCGUGAAGGAAGAAGGCUUUCGGGUUGUAAACUUCUUUUGACAGGGAAGAGCAGACGACGGUACCUGUCGAAUAAGCCACGGCUAACUACGUUCCAGCAGCCGCGGUAAUACGUAGGUGGCAAGCGUUAUCCGGCUUUAUUGGGUUUAAGGGGUGCGCAGGCGGUCUGUUAAGUCAGCGGUAAAAGCCCGGGGCUCAACCCCGGCCCGCCGUUGAAACUGGCAGUCUCGAGUUGGAGAGAAGUAUGCGGAAUGCGCGGUGUAGCGGUGAAAUGCAGAGAUAUCGCGCAGAACUCCGAUUGCGAAGGCAGCAUGCCGGCUCCACACUGACGCUGAGGCACGAAAGCGUGGGUAUCGAACAGGAUUAGAUACCCGAGUAGUC
rnacentral:rRNA from 1 species